GUCAAGCGUGCUAACUGUCGUGAAAGCACAUCGACGCAGAAAGCCGCGAGCAGGACGCUAAUAAGUCAGUCUUAUUAUUUGUUCUCCAGUUUGAAAUAUUUACGUCGUAUAAAAUACAUCUUUGAUUCUUUAGUCAAGGAUAAACAUCGUCUGGAUGCGCUAGAAGCACUGUGCCGCUUCUCGUGCUAUCUUUGCUUGUUAGUUAGCUUAGCUCGCUAGUUAGCUUAGCUUGUUAGCUGCUAACAGAAGACACAGAAGUUAUCAACACAUCGCGAAGUAGAGAUCAAGUGUGAGAGUAAAGUGUUGUGAUUGUGUGAAAAUGUCUACAUUACAAAUGUUGAGAGCGUUGGUGGAUCAGCGACUAACUGCUGCCGUUGAAGAAAUAUUUGUAGUGUUAGAAAGAACGAUAGCAGAAUACAAGGCGGAACUUUCUAGAACAAAGGAGGAUUACAAUCAACUACUGGACGCUGUUUUCAAGAAACAUCAAUUGUGUUACACAGAACAGAACUCAAUGAAGCACAUCGUCCUCGUGAGCAGGAGUUGGAACCACAGUCCCCCCACAUACACGAGGAAGAAGAGGUACCACAUUUCCAACACAUCAAAGAAGGAGGAGAGGAGCCACAGCCCCCCCCCCCCACAUUAAAGAGGAAGACGAGGCGCCACAGACCCAUAAUGUUAAACUGACCCUUCACAUUAAAGGGCAAGCGGAGGACCCACUGAUCUUACACAUCAAAAAGGAAGAGGAGGACCCACUGAGCCCUCACAUUAAAGAGGAAGAGGAGGAAGAGGGCAUCAGUCAGCCUAAAUGGUUGGAGGAGUUCCCAGUGACUGGUGUCCCUGUGAAGAGUGAAGAUGAUGAGGUGAAAGUGAGGAGAGGGGAGGGGGGGAGCCUCCAAGCAGCAGCUCAACACAACACAUGACAACAGGAGCUGAUGGAGACCACUGUGGAGGAUCACAAGCAGACAAGCUCUUAGCUCCACUAUCAGAUAGUGAGGACACAACGUCACACUCUCCUGACACUGAUGAUGAAGACUCUAAAGAUGAUAAGACAUGUCACACUGACAACACUCACUUCACAUCUUCUCUCUGUCACAAAACCUUUAAAUACCAUUGUCGUCUCAAAAGACACAUGAGAACACACACUGGAGAAAAACCCUUUUCUUGUUCAAUCCGUGGUAAAGGUUUUACACAAAGUCAUGAUUUGAAAGUACACAUGAGAACACACACUGGUGAAAAACCUUUUUCUUGUUCAAUCUGUGGUAAAGGUUUUACACAAAGUCACGAUUUGAAAGUACACAUGAGAACACACACUGGUGAAAAACCUUUUUCUUGUUCAAUCUGUGGUAAAGGUUUUACACAAAGUCACGAUUUGAAAGUACACAUGAGAACACACACUGGUGAAAAACCUUUUACCUGUUCAAUCCGUGGUAAAGGUUUUACACAAAGUCACCAUUUGAAAGUGCACGUGAGAACACACACUGGAGAAAACCCUUUUUCUUGUUCAAUCUGUGGUAAAGGUUUUACUACAAGUCAGAAUUUGAAAGUACACACUAGAACACACACUGGAGAAAAAUCACAUUCCUGUUCAAUCUGCAACAGAAGCUUUUGUGAGCGAUCAAACCUUGUAGCACACAUGAGAAGACACCCAAGAGAGAAAGUGUUAAAAGUUUAAGUACCAAUGAUUGUCACACACACACACGGAGGACACAAAGUGUUUCCAACCUAGCAGUGAGACCUGGUCAGGUCUCACUGCUGAGACCAUCUUGCCUUCAAGCCAAGGUCAGCAUACAUGAUGUUCUAUAGCCCAGUGGUCCACAACCUUUUUGAAUCCGCCGACCACUCAACGCUUAAUAAUUUGUCCCGCGGCCCGGGGUCAGGGGGUCCUUUUUUUUUUUUCUUCUUUGUCAUGAAAAAAGGACGUUUUUGUCAUGAAAAAGGGAGGUUUUUGUGGUUGGUGCACUAAUUGUAAGUGUAUAUUGUGUUUUUUAUGUUGAUUUAAUAAAAAUAACAAAAAAACUUUC